GAACGAACGCUGGCGGCAGGCUUAACACAUGCAAGUCGAGCGCCCCGCAAGGGGAGCGGCAGACGGGUGAGUAACACGUGGGAAUCUACCCAGCUCUACGGAAUAACCCAGGGAAACUUGGACUAAUACCGUAUACGUCCUUCGGGAGAAAGAUUUAUCGGAGUUGGAUGAGCCCGCGUCGGAUUAGCUAGUUGGUGAGGUAAUGGCUCACCAAGGCAACGAUCCAUAGCUAGUCUGAAAGAAUGAUCAGCCACACUGGGACUGAGACACGGCCCAGACUCCUACGGGAGGCAGCAGUGGGGAAUAUUGGACAAUGGGCGAAAGCCUGAUCCAGCCAUGCCGCGUGAGUGAUGAAGGCCCUAGGGUUGUAAAGCUCUUUCACCGGGGAAGAUAAUGACGGUACCCGGAGAAGAAGCCCCGGCUAACUUCGUG
rnacentral:rRNA from 1 species